rnacentral:sRNA from 1 species
ACCACACGGGAGCGCCAUACAAGGCCAUAC